rnacentral:rRNA from 1 species
AACGAACGCUGGCGGCAUGCCUAACACAUGCAAGUCGAACGAGACCUUCGGGUCUAGUGGCGCACGGGUGCGUAACGCGUGGGAAUCUGCCCUUGGGUUCGGAAUAACAGCGAGAAAUUGCUGCUAAUACCGGAUGAUGACGUAAGUCCAAAGAUUUAUCGCCCAAGGAUGAGCCCGCGUAGGAUUAGCUAGUUGGUGAGGUAAAGGCUCACCAAGGCGACGAUCCUUAGCUGGUCUGAGAGGAUGAUCAGCCACACUGGGACUGAGACACGGCCCCAGACUCCUACGGGAGGCAGCAGUGGGGAAUAUUGGACAAUGGGGCGAAAGCCUGAUCCAGCAAUGCCGCGUGAGUGAUGAAGGCCUUAGGGUUGUAAAGCUCUUUUACCCGGGAUGAUAAUGACAGUACCGGGAGAAUAAGCUCCGGCUAACUCCGUGCCAGCAGCCGCGGUAAU